rnacentral:lncRNA from 1 species
UUAGAUCAGAUGUUAUAACAUUAAGCAUGUUAAAACAAAAUAUUCAGGAAGCACACACCAUCAUUAUACACAGCUGAAAGCUGAGAUAAUGAACAAAUCCAAGGAACUCAUUAAGAGUCCUAAAUGUUACAUAACAGACAUCAAUAAGGACUGCCACAAAAUACAUAAUAAAAAAACAAUCAAGACAACAACCUUCUAAACAGCAGCCCAGCUUCCACCACACCUCUCAGUCUUCAAUUCAGGCAGGAACCAUUAAUCAGAAGAAGAAGUAUCACCUUCACCUUCAUCUUCAUCUUCAGAACACUCAGAGCUUCCAGAGCUGCCACUGG